GACGAACCGUGCGAACGUUGUUCGGAAUCACUGGGCUUAAAGGGCGCGUAGGCGGGUGAUCAAGUCAGGGGUGAAAUCCUUCCGCUCAACGGGAGAACAGCUUCUGAUACUGGUCAUCUUGAGGGGGGUAGGGGCAUGUGGAACUUCCGGUGGAGCGGUGAAAUGCGUAGAUAUCGGAAGGAACGCCGGUGGCGAAAGCGGCUUGCUGGGCCAGUUCUGACGCUGAGGAGCGAAAGCGUGGGGAGCGAACAGG
rnacentral:rRNA from 1 species